UACGUAGGGGGCAAGCGUUGUCCGGAAUCAUUGGGCGUAAAGAGCGUGUAGGCGGCCCGGUAAGUCCGCUGUGAAAGUCCAGGGCUCAACCCUGGGAUGCCGGUGGAUACUGUCGGGCUCGAGUCCGGAAGAGGAGUGUGGAAUUCCUGGUGUAGCGGUGAAAUGCGUAGAUAUCGUAAGGAAGACCAGUGGCGAAGGCGGGUCUCUGGACAGUUCCUGACGCUGAGGCACGAAGGCCAGGGGAGCAAACGGGG
rnacentral:rRNA from 1 species